UACACCGGCGAUUCGCCGGAAGAAAAUCCACCCCCAAAAUCUCCCUGGCGGCGCGGAGCACGGACGGCCGAAGCUGCCGCUGCUGCUUCUCGGUGCCGUGGCAGGCAUCGUCGCCGGCGCGGGGGGUUCGGUUCGGACGAGGAAGUAGUGGCACGGCGCCGGGGAUGGUGGGGGGAAAGCGGAGAGCCGGCGGGGGUGGCGGCGGCGACGCCGGUGACGCCGGUGACACCGGCAUGGAGCAACUUACUCACAGUGAGCGACUGCUGUUAGAUGACUACUUAAUCUAUCUGAAUUACCGCAUAAAGGAAGCCCCAAUUGCUUUCUUGCCAUGGCUGCCAUUGCUUUGCUUUGCCGGCCACUCAAGGAAGGAACCAGCUGCUCUUCCCCCCACCUAAAGGAAAAUUAAGAUGCGGAAUAAUGGCUUUCUUGCCAAGGAGCCCAAGCUAAGUACCCCCACCUAACCAAGGCAACACACACACACAUACUGUUGAUUAACCAAUCCUUGGCCUGGGCCUGAGAACAAGAAACAGAGACCAUGGCCAUCGUGCUGGAUGCCUUCGCGUCCUAUGUCGCUGACAUGCUCAAGCAGGUGGUGGAGGACGAGGUGGGGAUGCUGCUCGGCGUCACCGGCCAGAUCGACAAGAUGGGCGUCAAGCUUGGGGACCUCAAGAAAUUCCUGGCCGAUGCCGAGAGGAGACGCAUCACCGACACCAGCGUGCAGGGCUGGGUGACCGAGCUCAAGCGCGCCAUGUACGACGCCACCGACAUCCUCGACAUCUGCCAGCUCAAGGCCAUGGAUCACCAUGCAGCAUCACGCAUGGGGUGCUGCAACCCGUUGCUCUUCUGCUUGCGGAACCCCCUCUCCGCCCAUGAAAUCGGCACCCGCAUCAGGGCGCUCAACCAGAAGCUCGACGACAUCAAGGAGCGAAGCGCUGCCUUCGGCUUCGACCUUUGUUCGUACGAGGACUCUAGCAGCAAGGUACAUUCCUCUCGCUUGUCUACCAGCCGCGAGACGUCGUGGGAGCUCGACCGGUCAGGUGUGGUCGGGGAGAAGAUCAAAGAAGACACAAGGGCACUUGUAGAAAUCAUGGUGAGAAGACCUGAGGUAGAAACCAGCAAUGCAGACAACAACAGAGUCAUGGCUUUUGCCAUUGUGGGUGUUGGUGGGAUCGGCAAGACCACCCUCGCUCGGAAGGUCUUCAACGAUGAAGCCAUAAAUGCCAAUUUCGACACCAAGAUAUGGUUGAGUGUCAACCAGGGCUUCGACAAGGUUGAGCUUCUUAGGACAGCCAUCACUCUUGCCGGGGGAAAGCACCGUAGUGAAAAAGCGUUGGCAGUGCUUUGGCCAAUCCUUAGUGAUGCCUUGACAGGGAAGAAGAUAUUCCUGAUAAUGGAUGACGUGUGGAGCCAUGAAGCAUGGGGUGAUGUGCUUGAAACACCCCUUGUUAAUGAUGUGGCCCGAGGUAGCCGUGUCCUCAUCACUACUAGAGAUACAAGAGUUGCCCGAGGGGUGAAAGCUGUGCUUCCCUACCACCACGUCGACAAAUUAGAUGAUGAAGAUGCCUGGUCAUUGCUCAGGAAACAGGUAAUUUCAAGUGAGACAGAUAGACCUGAAGUUGAUAUGCUUAAGGAUAUUGGAUUGCAAAUUGCUGUAAAAUGUGGUGGUUUGCCUCUUGCUGUCAAAGUAAUGGGAGGACUGUUGUGUCAGAAGGAUAAACAACGCCAUGAAUGGAAUAUGGUUCUGAAUGAUUCUAUAUGGUCGGCAUCUGAAAUGCCUGAAGAGCUAAACUAUUCAAUAUAUUUAAGCUAUGAAGAUUUACCUCCUUCCAUCAAGCAGUGCUUUCUAUACUACUCCCUUCUCCCUAAAAGUGCAGUGUGGUAUAAAAAUAGCAUUAUUGGUAUGUGGAUUAGUGAAGGAUUUCUUCAUGGAACCUCUGCUGACUUGGAAGAACUAGGAAGCAAGUACUAUAAGGAGCUGAUUCUGAGGAACCUUAUAGAGCCAGUUACAAAAUGGGCUGAUCAGCAAGUUUGCAGCAUGCAUGAUGUUGUUCGCUCAUUUGCUCAGUUUGUGGCUAGAGAUGAGGCACUAGCAGCUCAGAGUGGAGAGACUGGUUUCAUUACUAAACUUAGUUCACACAAGUUCCUUCGGUUGUCUAUGGAAAAGAAAGUAUCAGAAUCAGAUGGGUUGGACUGGAGUUCCUUACAUGCACAAAAGACACUGAGAACACUAAUAUUAGUUGGCCCUAUAUCUAUGAAGCCUAGUGAUUCGAUUGUUGAUUUUCCCUGCCUACGAACUCUACAUACAGAAUCUGUAGAUGUUGCUGUAUUGGUUGAGUCUUUGGGGAAACUCAAGCACUUGAGGUACUUGUUCAUAUGGAAAUCCGAUAUAUCAAGUUUGCCAGAUAACAUUGGAAAUAUGAAAUUUCUGCAGUUCAUUUGCCUUGUAAAAUGCCAGCAAUCUGUGAAACUUCCACAUAGCAUUUUGAAGCUAGCGCAACUGAGGUAUCUUAACUUUCAUGACUCUAGUAUAAAUGGUAUACCAAAGGGGUUCAGUGUUCUAACAAAUCUAAGGAACCUGCGUGGGUUUCCAGCCCAGACAGAUGGUGUUUGGUGUAGUUUGGAUGAGUUAGGCCCUCUUUCUGAGCUCAGAUCUCUUGGAGUGCAGAGAUUGGAGAAUGUGUCUGUUACCUCGUCUGCGGCAAAGGCAAAGCUUGGUGAGAAAGUUCAUCUGACCCACUUGUUUUUAUACUGCAGCAGUAUAUUGGGAGAUGAUGGGCUGAUUAAAGAUGAAAAGGGUGUCUCUGAGGAAGAACAGCGACAAAUUGCGGGUGUGUUUGAUGAGCUCUGCCCUUCGCCUAGCUUAGAGUAUCUUGAUAUAAAUGGAUUUUUUGGCCGACGGCUCCCAAGGUGGAUGAUGUCAAGAUCAGCACCGGUCUUCAAGAGCUUGAGGAUUAUAUUCAUGCUUGAUCUAGCUUGUUGCACCCAACUACCAGAUUGCUUGUGUCAACUCCCAUGUUUGCAGGACAUUACGAUCCGUCGCGCUCCAGCCAUCAAGCAUGUUGGACAUGAAUUCCUGCAAUCCUACCAGACACCGGCUGCGUUCCCGAGAUUGAGGAAGUUGGAGUUAACUGGAAUGGUGGAAUGGGAGGAGUGGAAGUGGGAGGAGCAAGUGCAAGCCAUGCCUCUUUUGGAGGUGCUUGAGCUCGAAAAUUGCAGAUUGAGGUGUCUUCCUCCUGGCCUUGCCUCACAUGCAAGGGCUUUAAAGUCUAUAUCUGCACAAAAUAACCAGCACCUCAACUCACUAGAGAACUUUGCUUCUGCUGUUGAGCUGGAAGUGGCUAAAAACCCCGACUUGGAGAGGAUCACUAAUCUUCCCAAUCUGCGGAAGCUUGAGAUCGAGGCUUGCCCAAAGCUGAAUGUACUGGAGGGUAUUUGUGCACUCCAGAGGCUCGUAUUGGAGGAUUAUGCCAUGGAAACACUUCCUGGAUACAUGCAAGAUGUAAACCCAAGGCAUUUUGAGUUACGCUGCAGCCUGACGUUGCUCACUUCCAUAGCCGCGGGACAAUCUGGCCCUGAGUGGGAUAGGUUCAGUCAUAUCGACCAUGUCAAGGCAUAUGCACCUGAUGAGAACAAUACAAGGAAAUGGUACGUGUUGUACACGAGAGAGCCCUGCAGCUUGAUCACAAAUGUCCGUCACUCCAUAUCUGCAGGGGAUGAACAGGAGGACCAGCAAGUAAUUUCAUGAGGAAUGAAGAGCAACAAGAAGUAGGCAGAAGAUUUCAGCAUUCUUUUGCAUGGAUCUUCAUCAGAUCUUGUGGAGGUGCAUGGAGAGAGGCAGGUUGAAGGCAAGCAAGCUAGACGGGCCUUAUAACCAUCUUCACCUUGUUGGUUGGCCAUAUCAAGUGCAGUGCAGUGCGAUCCUCCUACAACAAAGAGAAGCUCAUCAUUUACAAAACUCUGCAGCAAGACCAGUACUUGUGUGUUGAUGCAACUACAAAAUACCUGUAACUUAUUUGAUUAUGCAUUGUGUGCAUGCUUGUGUGUUGAUGCAACUACAAAAUACACACCAUAGACUGUGGCGGAUCAAAUGGUUCUGUUUUGAUAAUUACCGGAGUCAUGCAAAGGAAAGGAAGUAAGCGAGGAGCGCAACUUCUGGUUAGUUGUACUAGUACUUUUCAACAAGUUAUUCUUGGUACCAGCGGUAGCAUUUGAAAGAUAAUACAUGUAACUUACUAUUUGAUUA